rnacentral:rRNA from 1 species
AUUGAACGCUGGCGGCAUGCCUUACACAUGCAAGUCGAACGGUAACGCGGGGCAACCUGGCGACGAGUGGCGAACGGGUGAGUAAUGCAUCGGAACGUGCCCAGUAGUGGGGGAUAGCCCGGCGAAAGCCGGAUUAAUACCGCAUACGACCUAAGGGUGAAAGCGGGGGAUCGCAAGACCUCGCGCUAUUGGAGCGGCCGAUGUCAGAUUAGGUUGUUGGUGGGGUAAAAGCCUACCAAGCCGACGAUCUGUAGCUGGUCUGAGAGGACGACCAGCCACACUGGGACUGAGACACGGCCCAGACUCCUACGGGAGGCAGCAGUGGGGAAUUUUGGACAAUGGGGGCAACCCUGAUCCAGCCAUGCCGCGUGCGGGAAGAAGGCCUUCGGGUUGUAAACCGCUUUUGUCAGGGAAGAAACGAUCUGGGCUAAUACCCCGGGGUAAUGACGGUACCUGAAGAAUAAGCACCGGCUAACUACGUGCCAGCAGCCGCGGUAA